rnacentral:rRNA from 1 species
UACGGAGGGUGCGAGCGUUGUUCGGAAUCACUGGGCGUAAAGGGCGUGUAGGCGGUCCGCUAAGUCUGGUGUGAAAGCCCGGGGCUUACCCCCGGAAGUGCACUGGAAACUGGCGAACUCGAGUCCCGGAGAGGAGAGUGGAAUUCCUGGUGUAGCGGUGAAAUGCGUAGAUAUCAGGAGGAACACCGGUGGCGAAGGCGGCUCUCUGGACGGUGACUGACGCUGAGACGCGAAAGCGUGGGGAG